rnacentral:piRNA from 1 species
UGAAAUCCGGUGGAACCGGAGGUGA